rnacentral:rRNA from 1 species
AGAGUUUGAUCCUGGCUCAGGAUGAACGCUGGCGGCGUGCUUAACACAUGCAAGUCGAACGAAGAUGCCGGAGUGCUUGCACUUUGGCAGACUGAGUGGCGGACGGGUGAGUAACGCGUGGGUAACCUGCCUUAUACAGGGGGAUAACAGUUGGAAACGACUGCUAAUACCGCAUAAGCGCACGGUAUCGCAUGAUACAGUGUGAAAAACUCCGGUGGUAUAAGAUGGACCCGCGUCUGAUUAGCUUGUUGGUGAGGUAACGGCCCACCAAGGCGACGAUCAGUAGCCGGCCUGAGAGGGUGAACGGCCACAUUGGGACUGAGACACGGCCCAAACUCCUACGGGAGGCAGCAGUGGGGAAUAUUGCACAAUGGGGGAAACCCUGAUGCAGCGACGCCGCGUGAGUGAAGAAGUAUUUCGGUAUGUAAAGCUCUAUCAGCAGGGAAGAAAAUGACGGUACCUGACUAAGAAGCCCCGGCUAACUACGUGCCAGCAGCCGCGGUAAUACGUAGGGGGCAAGCGUUAUCCGGAUUUACUGGGUGUAAAGGGAGCGUAGACGGCAAGGCAAGUCUGAAGUGAAAGCCCGGUGCUUAACGCCGGGACUGCUUUGGAAACUGUUUAGCUGGAGUGCCGGAGAGGUAAGCGGAAUUCCUAGUGUAGCGGUGAAAUGCGUAGAUAUUAGGAGGAACACCAGUGGCGAAGGCGGCUUACUGGACGGUAACUGACGUUGAGGCUCGAAAGCGUGGGGAGCAAACAGGAUUAGAUACCCUGGUAGUCCACGCCGUAAACG